GAUGAACGCUGGCGGUAUGCUUAACACAUGCAAGUCGAACGGUGGCUUCGGACAUAGUGGCGGACGGGUGUGGAACGCGUGGGAAUAUAACGAUUGGUUCGGGACAACUACAGGACACGGUGACUAAUGCCGGAUAAGCUGUAAAGCGAAAGAUUAAUUGCCACUUGAAGAGCCCGAGGCAGAUUAGGUUGUUGGUGGGGUAAGAGCCUACAAAGGCGUCGAUCAGUAGCUGGGGUGAGAGGACGGGCAGCCACUCUGGGACUGAGUCACGGCCCAGACUCCUCCGGGAGGCAGCAGUGGGGAAUAUUCCGCAAUGGGCGAAAGCCUGACGGAGCAAUACCGCGUGAGGGAGGAAGGCUCUUGGGUUGUAAACCUCUUUUCUUUGGGAAGAUAAUGACGGUACCAGAGGAAUAAGCAUCGGCUAACUCCGUG
rnacentral:rRNA from 1 species